GAAAAACUUAUCUAUUAACGUGGUAGCCACAUCUUUCUCUUCUUGGGAAGGAUUUCCAUACUUCUUUCAUUUCUUUUUCCUCCACUAUGAAGCAUCCUCUCCUGAUGAUAAUGGCUCGCUCCUUCAGCCAUGAACCACACAUGUAAUACCUACAAAUGCGCCAGACAAUCUUCAAAUGGAACUACUAAACCUCGCUCGAGGUAUGCACGGUGUUCAUGCGGGUUAGAAUCAUUGUUCGAGGUCAUCGAAAAGAUAGUUUAGACGAACCUGAUCUCACUUCUUGCUCAUACUACUACUACAAAGGAAAAAUCUUUGGCACUAUUACUAGGUCUUAUUCUUAACUUUUCUCUCUUAAUUUUUUUUAAAUUAAAUUCCUAUUUCUUUUGAUCCUACUUGUAAUCUUUUAGUGUCUAUUAGUAUAGAGUUUGGUCUAAGUAAGAAGUUAAUAUGAGUUCACACAUUUUGUGAAAAUUGUUGGAUAUCAAAUGUUUAUUUGGGAGGUUUUUCAUACAUUGAAUAUAUAGACACAUAUAUAGAGAGAGAGACAGACACACACUAGUUUAGGUGUACGUGCCUUGCGUGUGUACCUCACUUUAAUGAGUUCAAACAUUAUAUUAAAUAGGUUAUUUGUUUAAAUAAUAAAGAUGAAUAUAAUAAUUAAAUUUAAUAUCUUUUUAGUACUUAAAGAUGAAGAAUUUAUUUAUUAAACCUAAUCAUUACCAAAAAUAUUUUUACUUGUCGAUCGACUUUCAUCUACCUUCUCUAUAAACUGCAACAAAAUAAUACAACGAUAGGGACAUCCAAAUAAUAUAAUUAAAUCUAAUUUUGACACAUAAAAAUUUUCUCAAAGUCGUCUGACACUCAUCUACCACCUGUAAACAAUAACAAAAUAAUACAUUAAUAGAGAUAUCAAAAUAAUACGACUAAACCUAACCUUUAUAUAAAAAAAUUCCUCAAAGCCAACCAACAUUUAUCUAUCACCUGUAAACUGCAACAAAAUAAUACGAUAAAAGUGAUAUCAAAAUAAUAUUAUUAGCAAAAAAUAAAAAGAUUUCAAAAUAAUAUAAUUAAACCCAAAUUUUACACACAAAAAUUUCUCAAAGCCAAUCAAAAAUCAUCUACGAACUGUAAACUAACACAAAAUAACAAACUAAUAGAGAUAUUACGAUAGUACAAUUAAAUCUAACCUUCACCUAAAAAAAAAUUUUAAAGUCGACUCACAUUCAUCUAGCAUCUGUAAAUUAAGAUAAAACAAUAAGAUAAUAAAGAUAUCAAAACAAUAUAAUUAAACCUAACCUUUACACAAGAAAUUCUUCAAAGCCAACUUACAUUCAUUCAUCUAUGACCUAUACAAUAUAUAUAUAUAUAUAUAUAAUAGUGAUCACAAAACUUCGAUUUUGAUCCAACUAACUCUUGUCUGAGCGAAAAUUUUGACCCUAAAGAAUGAUUUUGAAUGAAAACAAAGAAGAUAUAUGUAUACACACAUGUUGAAUUCCAUUCUGCUGACAAAAACAGUGAAGAAGAAGAUGGUUAGAAAAUCAAGCAUUCAUCAUCUAGACAUGCAAUCGAAUCAAGUUAGAUAAGCAUCAAUCAUAUUCUCCCAAUAGGUAAAUCGGUUUGUUCUCUAGUUUAAGGUACAUCUCAAUAUUUAUUGAAGUAUUUCCUUAAUAGAGUCCUAUUUUAGGAGUAUUUUUCUAAUUGAAAAAUAGAAAGAAAAAUAUUAAUUAAUUUUUCUACCUUAUAUUUUAAGAGUCUCAUAUAUUUUAGGAAGCCUAUUAGAAAAGAAAAUAUUAAUUAAUCCUCCUACCAUAUAUAGGACUCUCAUAUAUCUUAGAAAGUCUAGUUAAUAUAAUAAAAAAUAAUUAAAUAAUAAAUUAAAAAAUAUUGAAAAAACAGUUUUGUCUAAAGAAGAGUCUUUUAAUGAAGGAUAACAAAUUCAAAUCACUUUUCAAAUAUUUUUUACACUUUUAUCCUUAUAUAAUCAUAAAUGGCAACAUUUCCUUUAAGAAAAUAAGAGCAUAUUGAUAAUUAUCAUUUCAUGUUUAUCUUAAAUCAUUCAAUGAUGAGAAGAUUCAAUUUCUUGAAAACAACCCGCUAAUUUCUUUCAAUCACAUGUUUGGUUGUUCUAUUUCAUUUGUUUAAGUAAUGUCAUGUCUAUUAAUUAAUACUCGGCAUAUUUUUCCUUUAAGAUAUUUGUUUAUAGGUUUAAUUUGCCGACAAUGGAAAAUCAAGCAUUGAAAAUACUCAGGAGGCAUAGAUAUUUACGGAUCAGUUAAUUGAAUUGUAAGUUUGAGUGUGCGAAUUAAAUUCCAAGUUAGUUGUAUAUUAGUCAAAAAGAAUUUGAAAACUCUUUUUUAAGAAUCUUUUCCCUUAUGUGCUUCCUUCUGUAAAGUUAAUUAAAUACUAAAAAUAGACAUACUCUCACCCACAAAAUAUUUUCUACACAUACACUACAAUGAAAUGACAUCGUUUGAAGUUCAAUAAUAAAAAUGAAGGAGUCAACAUGCGAAGCAGAGCUAACUAGGUGGAAUUAUCGCCCCAAUGGGGGCCAGAUAUGUUUGAAAAAUGAUGACAACAAUACAAGCAAUAGCCUAUUUCUACAUGAAGCAUAUAUAGCUUAUUAAAUAUAAAACACCUCGUUACUCGCUUCUUUUUUUAAUUUUAUGUCACUUUGUUAAAAGUAUCAAAGCCUUGUCAAGUUUUACUACUUAGUAAACUAUCCACUUACUUCGAUACAAUCUUUAUAUUAUACAUAUAUAUUUUUCUUUACAUGACUUUUAGAUGCUAAAAAUAUUUUAUUUAGUACUCUUAAAUAAGUUUGUUUUAAGAAUUUCUUUAGUUUUGUCUUAAGGCAUUUAAGAGAGUCGAUAUAGAAAUUGAAAUAAAGGGAGUAAUAUCGCAUUGAGCCUGUUUCAGUGUUGUUAUACCUCAUCCCACCCUCUUUUUUUUAAUUUUAACUUUAUGUGUUGUUAAUUUAUUUAUUUUUACGUUAAAUUAACCACCAAUUUAAGGUGGCACAUCUUACUAACGUAUCUCACAUUAUUUGUAGUCUAUUAUUAUUUCGAUUUAAACUUGAAUAUUUUCUUUAUCAGAUAUACUACAAAACAAAGGAGUUCACCAGAAUCUGUGAUCCAAGGAAGAUGAAGAAUACAUGAAUUAUGAUACUUUUCACUUAUUAUUUGCAUGUCGCAAAAGGACAGUU
rnacentral:lncRNA from 1 species